CCCUUAGAUGUCCUGGGCCGCACGCGCGCUACACUGAUGCAUUCAACGAGUUUCACCUUGGCCGAGAGGCCUGGGCAAUCUUUUAAACCUGCAUCGUGAUAGGGAUAGAUUAUUGCAAUUGUUAAUCUUGAACGAGGAAUUCCUAGUAAACGCAAAUCAGCAAUUUGCAUUGAUUACGUCCCUGCCCUUUGUACACACCGCCCGUCGCACCUACCGAUUGAAUGGUCCGGUGAAGCCUCGGGAUUGUGGCCAGUUCACUUUAUUGGGAGUUGGCUGUGAGAACUUGUCUAAACCUUAUCAUUUAGAGGAAGGUGAAGUCGUAACA
rnacentral:rRNA from 1 species